UCUGAAUAGGGCGCAUAAGUAACAGGUCGUAGACCCGAAACCAGGUGAUCUACCCAUGUCCAGGAUGAAGGUAAGGUAAUACUUACUGGAGGUCCGAACCCACGCACGUUGAAAAGUGCGGGGAUGAGGUGUGGGUAGCGGAGAAAUUCCAAUCGAACUUGGAGAUAGCUGGUUCUCUCCGAAAUAGCUUUAGGGCUAGCCUCGAGGUAAAGAGUCAUGGAGGUAGAGCACUGUUUGGACUAGGGGCCCUUCUCGGGUUACCGAAUUCAGAUAAACUCCGAAUGCCAUGUACUUAUACUCGGGAGUCAGACUGCGAGUGAUAAGAUCCGUAGUCGAAAGGGAAACAGCCCAGACCACCAGUUAAGGUCCCCAAAUAUAUGUUAAGUGGAAAAGGAUGUGGGGUUGCUUAGACAACCAGGAUGUUGGCUUAGAAGCAGCCACCAUUGAAAGAGUGCGUAAUAGCUCACUGGUCGAGUGACCCCGCGCCGAAAAUGUACCGGGGCUAAACAUAUUACCGAAACUGUGGAUGAACCUCUUUAGAGGUUCGUGGUAGGAGAGCGUUCUAAGGGCGGUGAAGUCAGACCGGAAGGACUGGUGGAGCGCUUAGAAGUGAGAAUGCCGGUAUGAGUAGCGAAAGAAGGGUGAGAAUCCCUUCCACCGAAUAUCUAAGGUUUCCUGAGGAAGGCUCGUCCGCUCAGGGUUAGUCGGGACCUAAGCCGAGGCCGAUAGGCGUAGGCGAUGGACAACAGGUAGAGAUUCCUGUACCAGUGCUAAUUGUUUAACCGAUGGGGUGACACAGAAGGAUAGGGAAUCGCACGAAUGGAAAUGUGCGUCCAAGCAGUGAGUGUGAGAAGUAGGCAAAUCCG
rnacentral:rRNA from 1 species